rnacentral:rRNA from 1 species
GACGAACGCUGGCGGCGGGCUUAACACAUGCAAGUCGAACGGAAAGGCCCUGAGUUCGUGGGGUGCUCGAGUGGCGAACGGGUGAGUAACACGUGAGUAACCUGCCCUUGACUUUGGGAUAACUUCAGGAAACUGGGGCUAAUACCGGAUAGGAGCUCCUGCUGCAUGGUGGGGGUUGGAAAGUUUCGGCGGGUGGGGAUGGACGCGCGGCUGAUCAGCUUGUUGGUGGGGUAGGGGCUUGCCAAGGCUUUGACGGGUAGCCGGCCUGGGAGGGUGACCGGCCACCUUGGUCCUGCGGUACGGCCCAGACUCCUACGGGAGGCAGCAGUGGGGAAUAUUGCACAAUGAGCGGAAGCCUGUUGCAGCGACGCCGCGUGCGGGAUGCCGGCCUUUGGGUUGUAAACCGCUUUCGCCUGUGACGACGCGUGUGUGACGGUAAUGGGUAAAGAAGCACCGGCUAACUACGUG